GUCACCAAACCCUAAAUAACAAGACCUAACCCUAAAAUGAGAAUUUUGAAUUACGCUCGACACCGUCCACAAACCAUUCAAACUCUAAUCAGCAACCUGUUUUUGCUUUGCCCUUCUUUUGUUUUCUUUUUUCUGUGUAGACCAGAGCAGCAGUGGCCAUGGAAGAAUGGGCCUGCAGAACUGGCGUUGAGGGCGGCAUUUUUGAGUGUGUUUGUUUUUUUAAAAGAUUUUUUAGUGAAUGAGGAUCAGGGCGGUUGGAACGGCAUGGUUGAACUCUACCCGAUGCGAUCGCAGAUCAUAAAGCUCAAAAUAUCACAUGCCAUUGUGGUGAGCUUCUGAGAGGCCAGAGCGACCUCGUUCACCUGCGCCGCCUUUUGUCACGGCACAAGCCGCUUUCUUGGUUUCUGUCUUCCACAGAUUAACAAGUGGCUCUUCCAGUUUAGGGAUCUGCUUCCGGUAGGAUUAAAAACGUAAUUUUAUUAAAAAUUAGUUACUAAGGUUUAUCAUUUAUUCAAUUUGCAUCGCGUGAUUUAAGAGGUUUCCACUGUAGGUGUGUAACCGAAUCAAAAUGGUACAAAAAAUGAGGAAAUUACACAGGUGUGUAUCUGAGAAGGAAAGGAAGUAUCUAUAAAUUACGAAGUUUCCAAGAAAUUUUCCUUUUUUUGGUCGUUUUUUUAACAAAAUUGGAUAACAGGACUCUAUUUUUCCUUCCAGAGAAGGAAUAAAAAUUGUGGGAUGUAUAUUUGAAAAAAUUGGUAGCGUGCAUUGGGUCGUUGCACGGCUUUCAUCAUAGGGUAUCUAAGCUCAAAAAUGUCCAAAAGGGUCAAGAAGCGGCUACGAUCGAUUAGUAAUAAAUGAAGAUACGGAAGAAUUCGAAGCAGCUUUUUAAUACAUCUUUGAGGGAUCAUUAAGCUGUGCAGCACAAUUAUAAUCGAUAAAAAAAUUUCAGACGGAAUUUUUUUCGGGAUUCCAACUGGGUGGCACAACUUAUCGAUCCUUCAAUAAUGUAUUGAAGAGCUGUUUCAAUUUUUUUUUUCAAUUGGAUGCCUUUUCAAAACCAAUAUACGAGAUGCUGAGGGUUACUAUUUUUUGCUGGAGCUCCGUACAUUCAGUUAUGUUCUCGGACAUUUGGGAUUAGAUACCCUACUAUGGAAAGCCUUGUGAGACCAUUAGCGCUCUCAAUUUAUAUCGUAAGCAUUCAGUUAUGUUCUCGGACAUUUGGGAUUAGAUACCCUACUAUGGAAAGCCUUGUGAGACCAUUAGCGCUCUCAAUUUAUAUCGUAAGUGUAAUAUGCUUCACACAUACUCAAGCUAGAAGAGCCAUACCAGCCCAAAUGGCGUUAGAUGUUAGAUGUCUUAUGGCAGUCCUGAAAGAUCUAUACAAGGAAUUAUAGACCCUAGAUAUAAGUAGCACGCUGAAUACCCUUCAAUAGUAAGCGAGUUUAGGUAACCUGCGUCAAAGUACUGAAAUGGAAGGGGCCAACCCCUGUUCCCAUGCUUAAGUCAAUUUUCUGGUUAAAGUGUCCCCUAAGUUUUAAAUUAUAGUGAAAAGGAUAAUCUAUAGAAUAGCAGUAGAAAAAAUGGAGGGGCUAAAAAUAUUUCUCAUUUUAUACCCUCCAAAAUUUUGUGCAUAAAUUUUCUAAUAAUAAUAGUAUUAAAAUAAUUUAUUAUUCAUAUUUUCACGGAGUGCUGCGGAUACUGUUCAUACAGUUUGCUGAUAGUUUUUUGUACAAAUCCUUUGGAGGUAUGUAUGUCCCUUCCAUUGCUGUUUGUGGAUCUGCUAUUUUUGAGGAUUGUUUUCUUUUAACUUUCUGAAUAUCUUAAAAGCAAAUUUCUGUGUAUUUUAGUCUUAUCUGUUUUCUGAGUGAUAUUGGUUGGUUGCUUUGGUUUAAUCUAGCUAUAUGCCUUAUCUUCGGAUUGAAUAUCUAGUGGAGUUAUAAAUUUGAAGCAGCUACGAUUGAUUAGACUUAAAUGAAAAAAAUAUUUUUCAGUUAUAAUUGAAAAAAGAUUUCCAUCUGAAAAAUUUAACUUAUUGAUUCUUAAAUGAUGUAUUGUAGAGCUACUUCAUUUUUUUUUAAAUUCAGAUUUUUGUCAAAAUUAGUAAUAUAAGAUGCGAGGGUAUUGAUGGAAAGCCCUUUGAGACCAUAAGCGCUCUCAAUAUGUAUUUUGAAAGUAUAGAUAUGCUUUAUGUUAUUCAAGCUAGAAGGGGUACCCCAGACCAAAUGGCCUUAGAUUCUAGAAAUCUUAUCCUAGUCCUGAAAGAUCUAUGCAGGGGAUUAUAGCCUCUAUAUAAUGAGUAGUAAGCUGAAUGCCAUGAUUACAGCAAAUGAGUUCAGUUAACCUGCGCCAAAGUACUGAAAUAGAAGAGGCUGUCAUAUCUUGGUUUUAUUUUGUUGGUGUUGCUUUCAACUAAUUUUUAAUCCUUUAUGAGGAAACCACUGAGUAUUUUAGGCCCAUCCUAUCAAUGACCUAAGAUGUUGGGCAAAGGGCUUUGGCGUGUAGGACAUAAGGUUAAAUUGAUCUGUGGACAUUUAAGGCUAAGAUCGGUUUAGAACCUAUAGUCUACAUGCUUAGACGAUUAUUUCCCUGUUUGUAUGUCGAUUUUAAUGAUUGUUUCGUCAAUUACACCAUUUAGUUUACAAGCCUUCCAUAUUCUCUGUUUCUGAGGUGUUUUUUAUAAGGCUAAGAUAGGUUUUUGAAUUUAUAGUCUACUUGCUUGGACGAUUAUUUGCCUGUUAGUAUAUCGGUUAAAUGAUUGUAAGUAAGAAAACUAGGAGUGUUUUAUCAGUUUGCACUAAUCCUUACAUAUUGUCUGUUCCUGAGGUGUUUUCCAUGUGGUCAGCCUAUCUUUUCUGGUGUUAAGUUGCCGCAUUCUUAGAUUUCCAACAAUGAUUAUUGUUCUUGAUGGUCUGAUCUAGGAUUCAGCAGUUCUUUUGCAGCAUACUGAAAAGUAAUUUUCUUUUUCUAUGGACUGAAAAGUAGUGUUUUGUCAAUUUGCACCAUUUAGUUUACAAUCCUGAGGUGUUUUCCAUGUGGUCAGCCUACCUUUUCUGGUGUUAAGUUGCUGCAUUCUUAGAUUUUCAACAAUUAUUAUUCUUCUUGAUGGUUUGAUCAAGGAUUCAGCAGUUCUUUUGCAGCAUACUGAAAAGAAAUUUUCUUUUUCUAUGGACUUAAAAAUGUACAUUUCAUGCUUGCUUCUGGUUUAUAUUGUGUUUGUUUGCAUCAUCCUGAUGAUGAGUGUGAUCUGAAAGGUAAUGUUGAUGCAAACAAACACACAAUUUAAACCAGAAGCAUCCAUAAUUACUAAUAUGGAUUGGGCAAAACUAAUAUCACUGUUUCAGAGUCCCCAAUCAGUCCCCAAAUCAGUAGGGAAUUGUAGAGACAAUGUGGGAGAAUAUUGUUGGAAGGAAAAAGCUCGAGUUUCAGAAUCUAGAAGCACGAAUACAGCUACAUCAGCAGCUUUUUAGUCAAUGUAAUUGAAACCUGAUGAUAUUGGAUGAUUACUGGUUCAGGGUUCAUUUGGAAGAAUUACUACUGGAAGCGCCAGGGUAAUCAGUUGCUAUUGCUGGGCCACGAGGAUGCUCCCUCGCUUAUCUGCUUCUCGCCUUUGGACAGACAUCAAUUCCAAGUACCGCAAAUGCAAAUCUAGUCAUGGACGAAUAACUACUUGAAGCGGCAGGGUACUAGACUGUUAUCACAACCAGAGACAUUUCUAUUAUCCCUAAAAAGUCCUUUACUUGAUUAUAUUCCAGGAUACCGAAAUGCAAAUCUAGUCAUUGAGGUGCAAGCAUAAUGUAAGUGCCUAACCCUUCCUCUAAAGGGUGAUUGUGAGCUCUUUGAAUGGGGAACCUAUGUGACCUGGUUGAAUGCAAAGAAUUAGGCUUCUCACGGGGAAUUCAUAUUCACUGAGCACAAAGAAGGGCUUUUUAGAUGCUUGAAGGCCAGUGUCGAUCUCUUGGAUGAUUUUGGGAGGGAAAGCUUCUUAGAUUUGUCAUCAUUUCCAGAGAACAAGAAAAACUGUGCACUGCUGGGUUUAUGUUCGGAAGCUGGAGUGGCAAGAUGCCUUUUUUUUUUUAAUGGAACUUGCAAGCGCAAAAAUCUCUAUAAUUGAUUUUUCCAAUGAGCUGAUAUUGUGUCUGUAAUUAUCAGAAGCCAAGCAACAUGCCUUAAUCAUGUUAUUGGAACUUGCAAGCGCAAAAUUCCUUGAAAUUUAAUCAGCAGCCCAGGGUAAAUUUCUUUCUAUGAUUUUUUUUACCAUUGAGCUGAUAUUGUAAUUAUCAUAAGCCAAGCAACAUGCCUUUAUCAUGUUAUUGGAACUUGCAAGCGCAAAAUUUCUUGAAAUAUAAUUAGCAGCCUCUCUGCUAAGAUGUUGAAUUC